rnacentral:rRNA from 1 species
GUGUGGGUUCAAACUGUGACUAUGGCACUGGAUCCCAUCAGACCUCCAAAGUUAAGCGUCCUUGGGCUUGAAUAGUACUGGGCUGGGUGACCACCCGGGAAGUCCAAGUGACCCCCUCU